rnacentral:miRNA from 1 species
CACCCCCACUUGCAUGACCCUGA